GACGAACGCUGGUGGCGUGCUUAACACAUGCAAGUCGAACGAUGAAGCCCAGCUUGCUGGGUGGCUUAUUGGUGAACGGUUGGGUACUACGUGAGUAACCUGCCUUUAACUCUGGGAUAAGCCUUGAUAACGGGGUCUAUUACCGGAUACAACCAACCCUCGCAUUGGGUGUUGGUGGGAUGGGUUUUUUUAAUGGUUUUAGAUGGGCUCACGGCCUCUCAGCUUGUUGGUGAGGUAACGGCUCACCAAGGCGACGACGGGUAGCCGGCCUGAGAGGAUGAGCGGACAAACUGGGACGGAGACAAGGCACAGACUAGUAAGGGAGGCAGCAGAGGGGAAUAGUGCAUAAUGGGCGGAAGCAAGAUGCAGCGAAGCAACGUGAGGGAUGAGGACAAUCGGGUUGUAUUCCAAUGUCAGCAGGGGAGGAGUGAAAGUGACGGUACCUGCAGAAGAAGCGCCGGCUAACUACGUG
rnacentral:rRNA from 1 species